GCCGAACGGCGAUGCCGAUGGCAGAAACGGUUAAUAUUCCGUUACUACCUUCAGGAGUGACGUGGAGACGCAGUAGUGACAGUGCCGCCAUCUGACGGAAUAGAUGGUUGAAGGGUGUAGGAGUCGAUCAUGGCAGGCAAAUCCACCAUGAGAUCCGAACCUGAUAGUAUGCCGCGUCCUUCGGGACAAGGCAAUAGUGCGCGUAAGCAUGCUGCCGAGAAAAUCCGCUAAACUUAAUCCUGCAGGUACCCGUACCGCAAACGGACAC
rnacentral:rRNA from 1 species